rnacentral:snoRNA from 1 species
AUUGGUGUGGUGAUGAAGUCUUUAUAUAUGGACUAGAGUUUCUGAUCUGGGUAUUACCCAGAAGUUGAAGACUAACCCUUGGCUGUCUGAGCACCAAU